AUGGUACAUGAUUGGCCUCGUAUCGUGAAUAUGAUUCCGUCUUUGCAAGUUCUCUAUCUUUCUGGUUGCUCGUUUCAUAAAGCCAACCAACAGCUCCCACGCUUGAACCUCACAAAACUUGAGAGGCUUGAUCUCAGCUACAACCAUUUUGAUCACCCCUCCGAGUCCUGUUGGUUUUGGAAUUUGACAAGUCUCAAGUACCUCAACCUUGGAGAAACCUUUUUGUAUGGUCAUUUUCCCAAGACACUAGGACAAAUGACAUCCCUUCAAGUCUUUGACUUUUCAUACAACAAGUAUCUCGACGGCGGCCCCGGCGGCAUCAUAGCGCCAGGGUUGAUGAGAAACCUAUGCAAUUUGGAAGUGCUAAACCUUGAAAAAGGCCUCUCGUAUGGGAACAUGACAGAGUUGUAUGAGAGCUUGCCACAUUGCUCGUCCAGCCCACUAAGAGAACUGUAUUUGGAUGGAAACAAUAUCACUGGGACCCUGCCAGCUGGGAUUGCCAAAUUUACCAGUUUGGCCAGUCUCGUCCUCUCUGAUAACCGUAUGACUGGACAUGUGCCCACUGAGAUUGGUAGGCUCAACGGUUUGAUUUCCCUAGACCUAAGAAACAACAAUUUGACAGGUGUCAUCACCGAAGAACAUUUCUAUGGUUUCACGAGCUUACAGUAUAUAGAUUUAUCUAAUAAUCCUUUGAAGAUUAUACUAGAUCCUGGUCUGCUACCCCCCCUGAAACUAGAGCAAGCAUCUUUUGCAUCUUGCCAAAUAGGUCCUAAUUUUCCUUCUUGGCUUCGGUUGUUGCCUAGAGCUGAUUACAUUGAUAUGUCAAACACAGGUAUAACCGGUCAGCUCCCAUACUGGUUCUCAACAACACUUUCACAGGCUAUAUUUUUGAACUUCUCCCACAACCAGAUUAGUGGAAGCCUACCAAAAAAUAUGGAAUCCAUGUCAGUGAACUAUCUCUAUCUAGAUAGAAACCAAAUAACCGGUGAAAUACCUCCAUUGCCAGAAAAUCUCAAUUGUUUCUCCAUAUCUAACAAUUCUCUAUCAGGUCAUAUUACAAGAUCUAUCUGCAAAACCCAAAAGUUGGAGUGCUUGGAUUUAAGCAUCAACCAGUUGGAGGGAGAAUUUCCUCAAUGUAUCAAGAUGGAAAACAUACGGAGUCUUAUAUUGAGUAACAAUAUGUUCUCAGGAAAGUUCCCAUCUUUUCUGCAAAGCACAAAUAUAAAGUUUCUAGAUCUAUCAAGAAAUAAGUUUUCUGGAAGAUUGCCUGAAUGGAUCGGAGACUUGGUGGCACUAGAGUAUAUAGGAUUAAGCUAUAAUAUGUUCUCUGGGAGUAUUCCAUCCAGCAUCAUCAAUCUUGGAGGAAUGUACAAUUUUGAUGUAGCAGGCAACAGAUUGUCAGGUGUUAUACCUCGCAAUCUUUCAAAUUUGACGGGUAUGGCAGGUCAGGUGCGAUACUGGAACGUAGACUCGAACUGGAUGCAACCUCAAUUUAUUUUGCCCGUGUUCACAAAGCGACAAGAGCUUCAUUAUAAACAAACAUUUGCUAACUUCUCAAGCAUUGACUUAUCCUUGAAUUACUUAACUGGAGUAAUUCCGGAAGAAAUUACUUCGGUGAAUGGAUUGGUGAAUCUGAAUAUUUCUUGGAACUACUUGACUGGAGAAAUUCCACGCAGUAUUGGGUCCAUGAAAUCACUUGAAUCACUGGACCUAUCAAGGAACAAACUUUGUGGGGAAAUUCCACCGAGCCUAUCAAAUCUGACCUAUUUGGAACAUUUGGAUUUGUCUUACAACAAUCUGUCCGGAAGAAUACCACCAGGAUCGCAACUUGACACUCUCUACGACUACUACCCAUAUAUGUACAGCGGCAACGUUGGUCUCUGCGGGCGUCCUCUCCAACGGAAUUGUCCAGGAAGUAAUAAUAAUGCAACAAAGCUAGUUGAUGGUGAUACCAAGAGAAGUGCGCAUGUGUCUGAUUCAAUGCUCUUUUACCUCGGGCUUGGGUCAGGGUUUCUCGUUGGCCUCUGGGUGGUGUUCUGUACCAUGCUAUUCAAGAAAACAUGGAGGAUUGCGUAUUUCCAGCUCUUCGACAAGGUAUAUGACAAGCUAUAUGUAUUUGUUGUUGUUACUUGGGCAAGAUUGGCACAGAAGGCAUUGAAUCUAACUGGGAAGCUUGGCUAG
rnacentral:rRNA from 1 species